rnacentral:tRNA from 1 species
CCCCGUUUAGCUCAAUGGUAGAGCGUUCGGCUGUAGCCCGAAAGGUUGCUGGUUCAAAUCCGGCAACGGGGA